rnacentral:lncRNA from 12 species
AUGAGUCAUUCAGUGCCGCUGUUUGUGUGUUAUUGGCAGGCACCAGCCACCCCCUCCUUCUCCUUCCUCCAUCCUGGGAAGCUCAUCUUUAUCACUUCCAUGCAUUCCUUCUUCUGUUCUGAAAUUCUUAAAAGAGUUUUCCUCAACUUGAAAGAACAGCAUAAACUACUGUUACAAAAGUACGGUGGAUUUGGAGUAAAAUCCAAGAUUUGUCUAUGAGUUUUGCCCUGCUCUGCGGUUCUGAUUUUUUCUUCUGUUGUACGUAAUACAGGCAGCCCCAAGCCCCGAGUGAUUUUCAAGUGCUCCUGAUGUGGGGUUUUCAAAGCGGGUUCCACAAAGAAUCAGUAUCACUGAAUGUUCCCUCUAGGGGGUCACAGUCCUCCCUAUUAACAUUGGGCUCAGCCACAAGAUCUGCUUCAGUCAAUGAAAUGGCACAUGAGUGCCACACGGCACCCACGGUGAAAGCCUCAAGCCCUUCACAAUGUUCUACUGUUUUCCUUUUAUCUCUUCCAUGAGACCAGCACUGGCCCAGAUGGAAGCUGCCCUUUCAGCCUCGAUCCAAGAGUGAAGAGGAUGUUAAGAAAAGCCAUAGCUACAGCCACCUAGCUGCUGUCAUGUAAAGGAAACAAGAAACAAAGCACCACUGGUUAAACCACUGAGAUUGUGUUACUGCUGUAUCCUAGCCCAGCCUUCCCAAUGCAUGACCAGCAUGAAAAGGGGUUCUUUGUAUCAAGGAAAUUUCGAAAUUUUGAAAAUGCUGCAUAUGCCAUCCCGCUAAAGAUAAUAUAUAUACACUGGCAUUUUAAAGGAUGUUAAAAAAAAUCCUCAGGAAAGAAACCAGUGUACCAUUGUGAUCUAGCAGUUUCCCAAUUGUCUUCAUUAAAGAAUUUUUUUUUUAUAUAAUACUUAAUAACCUUUCUCCAAACACACUUUUUAAAAGAGCUACCCUCAUGUAUUUUUUUCCUGUACCUGAAAGAGAGACCGAUUCAAAAGCUGGUGGCUCUUGUGAACUUUUGCAAACUAUUCAUUACUAGCUUCAUUCCUUUGUUCAUUCAUUCAUUAAAUAAUGAAAAAAAAUACAUCAGGUACUAUAUUGUUAGGGUUGGAGACACCAAGUGGUCCAACUUCUAUCUUGUGGAUAUGCAAAAAGUAUCACUGUCAUGAACUUCUAUAACUCCAUUUCAUUUCUGACUGCAUGUCUGGGCUUUGAUAGAGUACCUAUUUUUGAGAAUAUGAUUACUACUGGUCACUUCUCAGGUGUCCACUGCCCAGUUCCACAUGGUGGCUUCAGGACCGAGGAGUUGACAUUGUCAUACUAGUUUCAUGGCCAAGCCAUGGUGGGACAAAGGUGAGAACCUUUGCAGGGUGUCCUAUGAUCCUAUGUUCUUGGCCACAUCAUAUAGCCAUUCCCUUCAUGGCCUUAAUGGUGCUGUCAAGAAGCAGGGUUCAGUUCUUUGUUCUGGGACUGCAGAAUUCUAUGAUAACCUCCAGGAUUCCUGGUCCUAGGGUUACGCAUACCUCCUCUUUGUUACUCAGAAAACAGUAAUCUAGGUAUUGGUGUGAAAGGAUUUUGCAAAUGUAACCCAGGUCUCGGUUGACCUUUAAUUAGGGGGAAUAUUCAGGUGGGCCUGACAUGACAGCAUAAGUCCAUAACAGCAGUUUUUUCCUGCUGAUUUCAGAAGAGGAAAUCCGAGAUUCAAAGCAUGAGAAGGAUUCAACACACCAUCUCAGGCCUGACAGUAAAAUGGAUAGCGGCCCUGACAGCCAGCAAGGAAACAUGGGCCUCAGCCCCACUGACCCCUGCCAACCUGAAUGAGCCUGGAUGUGAUUUCUCCCGAGUCUCCAGACCAGACUCCGCCUCGCUGACACCUCAAUUUCAGCCUGUGAUAUUCUGAGCACACACUGCCCCUGACCUACACAACCAGGUGCUGUGGGACCAGCAGCACCCACAGGACCCUGAGCUAAGGAGCAGUGUUUUAAGCUGCUAAGUUGGAGGUCACUUAUUAUGCAGCCAUAGAAAAGGACUACAGGCCCCAAAGGCCCUGCUCGUGCCCUGCUUCUCCCACCCGGGUUCCCUGUUUCCAGUUUGGAAGAGCCUUCGAAAGUCAGAGGGAAGCCUGUGCGGCCCUUCUUUCAUUAAGAUGCUGUCUUUAGGGACCGCUGGGUGGCGCAGCGGUUUGGUGCCUGCCUUUGGCCCAGGGCCCGAUCCUGGGAACCCGAGAUCGAAUCCCACAUCGGGCUCCCGGUGCAUGGAGCCUGCUUCUCCCUCUGCCUGUGUCUCUGCCUCUCUCUCUCUCUCUCUCUCUCUCUGUGACUAUCAUGAAUAAAUAAAUAAAAUCUUAAAAAAAAUGCUUAAAA